CAGGCGGGAGCCGGGCGGCGGCCGGGCGGUGCUCUCCCGCCGCCUGAGUGGGCGCGGCGCGGGACGGCGGCGCGGGGUGCCGGGAGCCAUGGGCUAUUGCAGCGGCCGGUGCACGCUGGUGGCCGUGUGCGGCGCGCAGCUGGUUUCUGUGCUCGAGAGGCAGAUAUUUGACUUCCUUGGUUAUCAGUGGGCACCCAUCCUCGCAAAUUUUAUACACAUUAUUAUAGUCAUACUUGGCUUAUUUGGAACCAUCCAGUAUAGACCUCGUUACAUAACAGGAUAUGCUGUCUGGCUGGUCCUUUGGGUUACAUGGAACGUGUUUGUUAUCUGCUUCUAUUUGGAGGCUGGAGACCUUUCAAAGGAAACAGAUCUCAUUCUGACCUUUAACAUCUCAAUGCACCGUUCCUGGUGGAUGGAGAAUGGGCCAGGCUGCACCGUGACCUCAGUAACCCCAGCCCCAGACUGGGCACCAGAGGAUCAUCGCUAUAUCACUGUCUCGGGGUGUUUCCUUGAAUAUCAGUACAUAGAAGUGGCUCACAGUUCUCUUCAGAUCUUCCUUGCACUGGCAGGCUUCAUCUAUGCCUGUUAUGUUGUGAAGUGUAUUACUGAAGAAGAGGACAGCUUUGAUUUCAUAGGUGGAUUUGACUCUUACGGCUAUCAAGGUCCACAGAAGACAUCUCAUUUACAGCUGCAGCCCAUGUAUAUUGCCAACAGUGUGCUCUAUGCUGUACAAGCCAAGAAGCCUAGACAGUCCCUUCAAAACGAAUACGCUUUUUGAACAGAACGGGACAGAUCCGAUGCUCAUGUACCUCCUUGCAGUGUGGCCACAGCUGAUGUACUCAAAAGCAGCUUCCUGGCAUUCUGUGCCGGAGAUGCCAGUGCUCAUUUCCAGACCAUGGCAGAAGGACACAAUAAGAUGGCGGAAAUCAAUUGUCAAGACAAAAUUCUCCUCUUGGGAGGUGACGAAGGAAGGUCAAAGUAAACAUGGGGACUACUCAAGGUGGGCUGGAGGACCUGUUCAAAAAUCCCUUUCAGGAUGGCCUCCUGGUUCUUCAAAGAGAAAAGAAAUCCAAUUUUGUGCUAAAAAUAAUGUAUAAAAGCUGAUUGAACAGUGAGACAGAAAACAACAGAGACCUUCAGUCUCUCUUUCUAACAGGUACUAAAGGAGAUGCCCCAGACCUCCUCCUUGAACCUCCUGCCUCUCAGCAGCAGAGGGACACAGCAGAGGCAUUGCAGCCACCUUUUGUCCCUUUCUUUCCCUGGCCACCGCCAUUACGGCCCACCUGGAUUAAGACAUGAACCCAGCCCACUCAGUGCUGUGGGAGCCUCCUCCACACUCUGGGCCGUGUUGAGUCUCCUCAGCCAACACAACACUGAAAUACCAGGAUGACCUUGCAGCAGAAGUCAAUAGACAGCGCAUUGUUUGCCCUGAAGGCUGUACAGUUCAUACUUGCCUUAACCCAACUGCGUUGCACAUUAGAGAAACUACGUGCAAGCUUUCUGAAGUUAACAUGCUGCUGUUAAUUCUGAACGAUUUCUAAGUCAGUGGUUUUCUUCUGUUUGGUUUUGCUUUGUUUUCAUGUCAGGGAAUAAGGCUCUGUUGGUCCAUGGCUCCAGAGCAACCAAGUAGAAAACUGCCAGCUGUCUGAUAAGUGCUUUACUUUUGGGGCUCCACAGUGGUCAAGAAACAGUUUAUAAUGAUUAAAAAGAAAAAUAAAUAAAGAAAUAAAUGAGAUCUUUUGGGGGUCAGGGAGGGGAAAGGGGUAACAGAAACUAAUAAUUGAACCUACUGGAAAUAAGCAGCAGAAACUGUGCUUCUUAAUCCCGCUGGUUUUAUUUAUCGCACUGUAGGUGCUUUUAUAGCUAUCUCUAAACAUCUUUUACUAACUACAGAGACAUCUGCAGAUUUCUAUGAACAAAGGCCAACUGAAUAUGUACUAGCUAUGUUUACUCUUUUAUAUCUGAUUUCAACUAAAAGUUCUCUGUAAGUGAGCUUUUUUUUUUUCUAAUUGCACCAUAAGGGAUCCACAUAUUUUAUUUCUUGAUUUUGGUUGGAGAGGGCAGGGAGGGACUAGUUGAGUUGAAGAAAUACUGAAGACCUUUUUGUGGUAUAUUUGGGGGAUCUGUUGUGUGUUAGAACGUGUAUUUUAUCUUCCUGUAUUAUUGUGGCUGAAAAAACCUCUGUGCUGUUACGUAGUUGGCAACAAGAUGCCUUUGGGAAUUUUGCUAGUAGGUCAAUGUGUAUAUGAAAUACUCUGAACUCCUAGGAACAUAUGUUUUAUUCUACAUCUGAUCUGUAUUUUCAAGAACGUAGAUGGCUUUCACUAGGAAAACCCAAUAUUUUGCUCAGGUUUUUCAGAAACUUGGAUUGUCAUUGUUUCUUUGCUCAGACCUUGCAUAGACAAACGCACGCACCUACCACACCUGAGGUGACCACGUAGCUUUUGAGGGCAAGAGGGAAGGUCAGCGCUUGGAAAUGCUCAAGGCACCCCUGGGCAAUUCCCUUUUCCCUGCUGGCUAAACCCUGCUCCAGAGGCCUGUGUGCUCACACCACUCACCCAACCCUGUACAAGCCAGUGCCCUUUGCUGUGUCUGCAUGGAUGUACAGUGUCACAAACAACAACUCUGGACAAUGACAGAGGAACAGGCAUUCACCAGUGAAAACAAGAUACGGGACAUGUUCAGGAACUAUACCUACAUUGAUUCAGUGAGAUUUAUAUAGAUAUAGAUAGAUAUAUAUAUAUGUAAGUGUGUGAAGGUGUGUGUAUGUCUAUUUAUAUAAAAUACACAGGACUAUUUUUGGGGGCUGCAUCACCCAGGAAGAUUCUGAUGCAGUGGACCAAGGGUCCCGUCUCAGAUACUGCUGGGAAUUUCAUGCAUGAAAUAUGAAUGUCCUCUAGGCCUGAUCCUGUAAAGCAUUCAUUGCUGAUUUGGAUCUCAAAUUUAAAUUUUCAUACUUGAGUACCUGAAAGUAUGAGUUCCUGCUGGGUAGAGAUGCUUUUAUGCUUUUCACCCCCUGGAAACUCCAUGCAAUUUCCAAGUGACAGGCUGAAAUUUCCCAUAACUUGAAAAACUAAAAAAGUUUCUUCUUUCAUGUAGUAUUAAAUAUAGCAUAUAUACAGUAUUAAACACAAUGAAGAGGUUUAAAUGGGAUGAAAAUGUCAUAACAGGUUAUUUUAUCUUUCCCUGUAUACCAGUUAAUCAAAAUGAUAUUUCUAUAGAAAUCAUUUUUAACAUGAAAAGAAACCAGUUUAGGCACCUAAGCAGCAAUCCAAUUUUCAGAAGAUAAUUUUUCAUACCUUUCAAUGAUUUCCCAUGGAACAGCAGCUACUGGUAGUUAGCAAUUUUAGAAGUCAGACGAUUUAAUGAAGUGUCUACACGUAGCUUAUAGGCCUGAUUUUAAAUUAGAAAAUUUUGGCCUUAAUUUCUCUGUGUCUUAGUCUUCCCAUCCAUAAUACGGGAAUUAUAUGUGCCUCACAAGCUUUUUGUGAGGUCUGAAUUGUUAAUGUUUGUAAAAUGCUUAGGAAAUAGGAAGCACAUCUAACUACUACGGAUUGCAAUAUAAAUGUGUAUUCAUAUAUUACAUAUAGAGUAGAUACACACACUCACAUACACACAGUAUAUAUAUAUAUAUAUAUAUAUAUAUAUAUAUAUACACAUACAUACCUAUAUGAAGUUGGUAUUCAUAACCCUGCUUAAGUUGAAGUUAGAGCAUCACCAUUUAAAAAAUUAGGAUGGUUGACUACUCAACUAAAUGAUUAGUGGACAGAUCUCUUCUGGAAGCAGUUUAGAGCGCAGUAAUGUGAGAAUAUCUGGAUGGCAUUUUUGAUUUGUACAGCUGUAUCCUCCUCAAAAUCCAGUAAAGAAUGUUAUUUUUCUAGGCUGGGCUUUUGUUAUAAACUAAAAUAUUCAGAAGGCAAGAGAUACAAUCCAAAUGUGUCUUUUUUUCUUUUCUUUUUGGCAUUUGUUAAUUCUGAAUGUAUUUUUAACAAAAGUGAUUUUUUUGACUUACUAGUGUAAUUUGCAUUUUAAAAAAAAAUAAAUGGAAAAAAUAUAGGUUUCCAAGCUAUUCAUGGCCCCCUGCUGCUAUUCAGAACUUACAGGAAACUCAGAAUUACUCUUCCCAGCUGAGCAACAAUACAGGAUAAAGAAUCCUAUUACAUUUACAUGAUGACAAUCCCGAUCUGUGCAGUGCAUGGAUGUGACAGCACUGAAUAGAAAUUGCCGGGUCAUGACACCAUUUUAAUGCUGUCAUAUGUACCAGGUAUUUUCAUUAUCACUGACACUAAAAGGUUUCUUUUACAAGGCUGACUGCAACAGACUCUUUACUUAGAAAACAGGGCUGGUUUUGCCCACUCAUCAGGAAUUUUAAGCCCAUGAUAGGUAUAGAGUUGCCAACACUGUUAAGUAUUGCAAAAAUACUUGUUAAGAAGAAGCUAAGUAACAUGGAUAUUUCCUCUGCAUUCAUAUUCUUUUAUAUGCUAUUUAUUGUCCCUACACUGAGAUGAUGGAAUCCUGUCUUAGGCAAAAUGUUUAUAGAGCUCACAUAUGUUGACAGCUUGCCUGAGGUCAUUUAAUAAAGGUGGAGCAGAAUGAUA